UCAGCUUUCUCUAGCAGUCCCAGAUUGCCACU
rnacentral:piRNA from 1 species